rnacentral:rRNA from 1 species
AGGAUGAACGCUGGCGGCGUGCCUAAUACAUGCAAGUCGAACGAGGUGCUUUUGUAGCAAUACGAAAGUAUCCUAGUGGCGAACGGGUGAGUAACGCGUUGGUGACCUACCCCAAAGUGUGGGAUAACAGUCCGAAAGGAUUGCUAAUACCGCAUGUGGUUAUCGGAUCUAGAAACUGAUAACUAAAGGAGCAAUUCGCUUUGGGAGGGACCCGCGUCCCAUCAGCUAGUUGGUGAGGUAAUGGCUCACCAAGGCUACGAC